GAUCGCAUUCUAAUCGACGCAUGUGGCCGGGCCCGUAUUGGAACGCUACUGAAUCCACCAACAAUCAAACCCCGGACAGGAUCUGGUUUUGGAGUUGGAAAAAAUGCUCCCCCAUCACGGAAACGUAGCAGACUGUUUUCUGGGUGUUUUUUUUUUAAUCGUAAUAGGACACACCCGCUCAAUGGGACUUUUUUGUUUUGUUUCGCUCUGUAUGUGUUCUCCACCUUCCUUGAACUGGACGCGCAGAAGCAGCAUUCGCCAUUCGGUUACGCAUCGCUGGGCCUGCUUAAGUGUAUUGCUAUUUUUGGUCUUCGUUAUUUUUUUCGCAAACCUACUUUGAAUUAUGACGUUCGAGCGAUGAAACGGUUUGAUGCCGAUUGGGGUGCAAUAAACACCAUCAUAGUAGCAUCCUGUGACACCUCUAUGACACCCAGGUCAGUGUCUAGAUAUGGGUGGGAAAGGGAAGGCCUAAACCAAAAGCCAGUAAAUUCAAUUUCCUUACCACACAACACACGACGGGAGAAACAACAGCCACGUGUUCUAGAGGUGCAAACUGCGUUUUCUAGAAAUGCAAUGAAUUGAUACGUUGCGGAAACUAGAAUUGUUCGAUAGGCUAACAUUGACCGGGGAGGAGCUUAGUAAGAGCCUACAAGUGGCAAUGGUACUCCGAAGUCUCCCGGUAUCCGGAAGGUCUGACGAUGAGCAUAUGCUGGAAUUGGCGAAAACCAAGAAGCGAAAUCAAUCCGGAAAUAUUCAUGAGAAUGGCUCGUUUAAAAGUAAAUUUGGAUUAUUUAUGGCUAUUAAUACGGACCCAAACGCCUAUUCAUAUAGAGAUGGCGAAACUGAUGCCGAAUCCGGAGCAGAUUUUGAUUCUGGAGGCGCUUUCGAUUUCGGACCCGAAUGCGAUUCCGAAACCGAUAUUGAUUCCGGAGCCGAUUUUGGAGCCGAUUCCGGAGCCGAUUCCGAUUCCGAAGCCGGAAACUAACUUCCGGACCUACUAUCCUGAAUCAAUUUAAGAAAACUUGGGAUCUAGCCGGGAAAAAAUCCGUAGGAUAAAACAUCAAGAGUGAUCAUGAACAAUUUAAGAUUGCAAUAUGCAAGAGUCGAUUAGAAGCACAUUAGAAAACUUAUUGCAUUAACCAGUAAUAUAUCCUGCAUGAACUGUGCUCAUUAUAUGAAGGAAACCAAACUUUCCAGGUGCCUUCCGAGUUAGGGAAAUGCACACAUGUAAUUUUGUUAAAAUUACCCUCCACAUAUCAUUUAGAGUUUUCGGAAAAGCAAUAAAGCUAGAAUUUAAAAAAAAUAGAACCGUUUUCCUGUUUUCACGAAAAGAAUGAAACGUGACAACUUACACUGUUUAUUUCACUCUUCCGAUUUUGGACAACCUCAACCCACGUGUUGUGUGCGGGAGAAGGCAAGGUAUAGCACACGAUACCGUACAAUCCUGCGAUGGUAUGCUAUC